UGUGGUGUAAAUCCUCUGUUUACUAAAUGCUUUCAUACAGUUUCACUACGUGCAAAUUUUGAAUUCUUGCAUUUCCGACAGGGGCAGAACAUCUUACCGCUUUCCUGUGUGAUCGGUGUACAGCCCGCCUGGUGCAUGAAUGUCUCUAGCCCGCUCAGAAAUGCGUUCGUCACCCUCCCGUCGGAAUCUUUGUGCAAAUACAUCCAACUCCGUAACUCGUAAAUACUACCGCCACCGGC
rnacentral:lncRNA from 1 species